rnacentral:rRNA from 1 species
AGUGAGGAAUAUUGCACAAUGGAGGAAACUCUGAUGCAGCAACGCCGCGUGGAGGAUGACGCAUUUCGGUGUGUAAACUCCUUUUAUAUGUCAAGAAAAUGACGGUAGCAUAUGAAUAAGCACCGGCUAACUCCGUGCCAGCAGCCGCGGUAAUACGGAGGGUGCAAGCGUUAUUCGGAAUCACUGGGCGUAAAGGACGCGUAGGCGGAUUGGAAAGUCAGAUGUGAAAUCCUACAGCUUAACUGUAGAACUGCAUUUGAAACUUCUAAUCUAGAGUAUGGGAGGGGGAGAUGGAAUUAGUGGUGUAGGGGUAAAAUCCGUAGAUAUCACUAGGAAUACCGAAAGCGAAGGCGAUCUCCUGGAACACUACUGACGCUAAGGCGUGAAAGCGUGGGGAGCAAACGGGAUUAGAUACCCCGGUAGUCCACGCCCUAAACGAUGAACACUAGUCGUCGGGAUGCUAGUCAUCUCGGUGAUGCACUUAACAGAUUAAGUGUUCCGCCUGGGGAGUACGGUCGCAAGAUUAAAACUCAAAGGAAUAGACGGGGACCCGCACAAGUGGUGGAGCAUGUGGUUUAAUUCGAAGAUACGCGAAGAACCUUACCUAGCCUUGACAUUGAUUGAACACUUUAGAGAUAGAGUGGUGCCCUUCGGGGAACAUGAAAACAGGUGCUGCACGGCUGUCGUCAGCUCGUGUCGUGAGAUGUUGGGUUAAGUCCCGCAACGAGCGCAACCCUCGUCCUUAGUUGCCAGCAGGUUAAGCUGGGCACUCUAAGGAGACUGCCUUCGCAAGGAGGAGGAAGGUGAGGACGACGUCAAGUCAUCAUGGCCCUUAUGGCUAGGGCUACACACGUGCUACAAUGGGGCGUACAGAGUGUUGCGAUACCGCGAGGUGGAGCUAAUCACUUAAAGCGUCUCUCAGUUCGGAUUGGAGUCUGCAACUCGACUCCAUGAAGCUGGAAUCACUAGUAAUCGUAGAUCAGCAAUGCUACGGUGAAUACGU